ensembl:miRNA
UCCAGCUGUGGUGGGGACUGUUUGGUGCGGGGUGGGGCCAGCUGUGCAGUGAUGAGACCCUGGAAUGAGCGCUGGG